UACGAAGGGGGCUAGCGUUGCUCGGAAUCACUGGGCGUAAAGGGUGCGUAGGCGGGUCUUUAAGUCAGGGGUGAAAUCCUGGAGCUCAACUCCAGAACUGCCUUUGAUACUGAAGAUCUUGAGUUCGGGAGAGGUGAGUGGAACUGCGAGUGUAGAGGUGAAAUUCGUAGAUAUUAGGAAGAACACCGGUGGCGAAGGCGGCCCACUGGAUCGGUACUGACGCUGAGGCGCGAAAGCUAGGGUAGCAAACGGG
rnacentral:rRNA from 1 species